rnacentral:rRNA from 1 species
GACGAACGCUGGCGGCGUGCUUAACACAUGCAAGUCGAACGGAAAGGCCCUGCUUUUGUGGGGUGCUCGAGUGGCGAACGGGUGAGUAACACGUGAGUAACCUGCCCUUGACUUUGGGAUAACUUCAGGAAACUGGGGCUAAUACCGGAUAGGAGCUCCUGCUGCAUGGUGGGGGUUGGAAAGUUUCGGCGGUUGGGGAUGGACUCGCGGCUUAUCAGCUUGUUGGUGGGGUAGUGGCUUACCAAGGCUUUGACGAGUAGCCGGCCUGAGAGGGUGACCGGCCACAUUGGGACUGAGAUACGGCCCAGACUCCUACGGGAGGCAGCAGUGGGGAAUAUUGCACAAUGGGCGGAAGCCUGAUGCAGCAACGCCGCGUGCGGGAUGACGGCCUUCGGGUUGUAAACCGCUUUCGCCUGUGACGAAGCGUGAGUGACGGUAAUGGGGAAAGAAGCACCGGCUAACUACGU